rnacentral:rRNA from 1 species
GGUAGGUACUCGAGUGGCGAACGGGUGAGUAACGCGUGGGUGAUCUGCCCUGCACUUCGGGAUAAGCUUGGGAAACUGGGUCUAAUACCGGAUAGGACCGCACUUUAGUGUGUGUGGUGGAAAGUUUUUUCGGUGUAGGAUGAGCCCGCGGCCUAUCAGCUUGUUGGUGGGGUAAUGGCCUACCAAGGCGGCGACGGGUAGCCGGCCUGAGAGGGUGUACGGCCACAUUGGGACUGAGAUACGGCCCAG